ensembl:lncRNA
CAUUCCCGGCACUAGAUGGCCCAGGUCAGUUGAUUGUCCAGUCGAGGGAAUUUCUGUCUUUCCAGUUCAUAAGGUGGCGACACUAGCUAACAAUGUGGCGCCCGGAGCGGAAUCGGUUUCUUGCAACAACGACAAAUCUUGUAUGGCCUCCGUUGACCCAUAACCAUGAUGGCCAGACGACUUGCAGUCGGGGUCUUUUUAGGCAUUUGUGUUAGUAUUUACCUGCUGCAAAAUGGCCGAAAUAUUUUCCUCAAAAAAAAAGUGGAGAGACGUGAAACGUGUACCAGAUUUAUAUGCACUGUAGCUGGCCACUGGGCGAGAAUCAAAAGCUAUUGUAGACCACGCACUUCCAGUUCUCCUUAUACUCAUCUCUCAUUUCUUCCAAUGAUUGAAAAUGCUGAGUAGCUGCGGAUCCAGAUUUUUUUUCUUCUGGUGUUUCCUGAAGCUUCUGCGCAUGUGUGGCUCCUGUUCGACAGUGCAAUAUACACUGGUGGACUGUGCUAGUUUGUUAACGCCAUCUGCUCUUAAAUACAUUAGAUGUACGUCAUUCAGAACAACACUGUAGGCUACUUGGAAACAGCACUUAGCUCAAAAAGAUCUAAACGCAUAUCCCUGUGAAUCGAAACUGAUCGAGAUCAAAUAAUGACAGUGCAGAAUAAUGCUGCAUGAAUGCUUCAUGUAAGACUUGAUUUAGUGCAGUAUGAUGCUAUUUACGCAAGCGUUCUGCUUUUCUAUUACGUUGGUUUCUGUUAGGCUAAUGUAUGAAAUUGAUCAGAAUGUGGUCUGUGUUGUCUAUUAGUAGACCUGAGACUGCUUAGAAGGAAUAAACGUGCAAAUCUGUAAAUAUACGUAGAAGCUUCGGGAAACGCAAAAUUUUGGUCUUAAGAUUGAAUAAAAAGGUGGAAAUUCCUAACAAAGUUUGAUCCUGGCCAUGGCCUUGAAAACAACACAAUAGGAAUCAGUCAAGCUUUUAUUUUUCAGUGGCCUUUUUUCCACCCCCUGAUGCCCCCUGGUGUCCACCAAAGACACUCCGUUUACUAGGCCGAGUCGAAAGGGGGGGUUCACGAAGGAACAGAAAGAUGGAAUCAGGGAAGAGUAGUUCCUGUGAUGUCCGGAGAGAAGGGAAAAUAGAGAAAUGAAAGCGGAAGUGAAUCACAAAGCCCAAGCGCGGCUAGGUCAGUACCCUGAACUGAGCUUCCUAGAUCUGGAUGUGAGAUCAAAACAGCCCGUCCCCUGGUGAGAGGGCAUAAAAACGGACGAUAACGGAGCUGGAUGAUUCAAUAGGGGUUUGAUUGUGUCAAACACCUUUUAGUUUUCCUUCAGCCCCUUUCUCCCUCCCUCAGCUCUGUAGGCUAGAGAAGAGAAGGAUGACGUCAUCUGCUCCCUCGGAGCUAGGGUCUGGCUUAGCAGCCGUUUUGUUGCUCAGAGUUUCCCAGAUGUCCUGUGGGAUUUAUCUGUUAUGUUCUCUGUACGUUUCCUUGUGUCACACUACGUUUUUGUUUCACUUUUUUGUUUUUGUUUUACCCCCCCCCCCUUUUUGCUAGCUAGAAAUAAAUGGCUGGAGCAAAAAAGGGGUUUUGAGUACACUUAUGAAUAUGAAUGUAAUUUUAGUCAAGAGGUUAAUGAAGUACAAAACACAUUAAAGGUAGAUGGAUUUCUGUUUUUCUGACUUGAAAAAUAACAUGUAAAGAGCUGUUAUGAAGUCUGUUAUGCAUACAUUAUAAACAGUAGUCCUAGGAACAUGUCAAGAAACUUGGGUUCUGUAUCCACAUAAGCAUGAGCAACACUCGCUUCCUAACAGUUUAUAUUCUCCUUGGUAUCCAACAUCUCUUGCUUUUUCCUCUCUGCCACUUUCAGUUUCUUUUUCCUUCCUCAUUCUGUUCCAUUUCCCCCAUUAUGUCAGCUCUCUAUCUGUACUUUCUCUUGGUUGUAUUGGUUCCUGAGUUAUAACCCCUUUCCCAAAAUAAAAAAGGCAGCUGCCAUGUUUAUUUUCCCCAAUCUGUCUUGGAGCUGACCAAUGACCCUCUUGUCCUCCCCAGACACACACACAUUCACUUCACACUGCAUCUUUGAGGUAUGUAUGUGAUGACUCUGCUGCGUUGUUAGUUUCGACCAGGUGGAGGAAAAAACAGCAUGACCAACCGCGGGCCCCCACCUGAGUGUGGUUACAAGUCAUUUGUGGCGUGUGAGUGAGUGAGUGCGUGUGUGUGUGUGUGUGUGUGUGCGCGAGAGUGUGUUGGCGUGUGCGCACGCGUGAAAAAGGAAAACCAAAACAAAUCUGCCUGUAAGCAGCAUAACCCUCGGGGUAUAGGGACCGCCUGUUUAAAAAUACAAAAGACUUUCAGUGAUUUUGUUCCAGAGCCCUCCCUCUCUCUCUCUCUCUCUCUCUCUCCCUACCCAGUUGUAUAAACUCCAUACUGUACCCAUCUAAUGCCUUUUCACUAGAUGCACAGAAUUGUGUUUUGUAAAAGAACAUUUCUUAUGCCACAGUUUUGCCGUCACGGUGAUCAUUCCCCGACCAAACGCCUGAAAACAGAUGGAGAUUGAAUACUGGUGACGUAACACGCGUAUUUACAAUAUGUCUAGUAAGUUCAAAUGAAUUGUGCCUCCGCUUCGAUAUAUUUAAACGUAGCUGUAUUGAGAUGAUGAGGAUCUUCCAGAUUUCAGAUAAGGUGCCUUUUCUUGGCAUAAGAAAUGUAAAUGGUACACGGCUCGAUUUAUCAAAUGGCAAAAUGGCUUGGAGAAAAUCCUGUGGCUUAGUUUGCUGAAGCUGAUUAUAGUUCUAGGGAGUGGCUAAACUGUUUGGUAUUGUGUAUGUUUAGGUAAAUACUGUGCCAUAGUUUUUAGAGUCCACAAAUAUGUUAUUGUUUUUCUUCUCAAAUAUAUAAAAUGUUUUAAUGUUGCCUGAUAACUUUGUCUCUGGAUUUGAUACAAAGGCUUGUAGCCACAGCUCUCCCAAAGUCCCUCAUUUGUUUUCUUUUAUGUUCCUUUAACUCUUUCCUCUUGUUCUCCUCUCUCCCUCGUUAUUCUCGCUACAAUCAAACAAAUAAAGUAUUAACCUGAUGACCCAACAUAGAGGAAGUUUUGAUGUCUGAUUUGAACACUUGCUGUGAAAGCCGUUGUGUAUUUCUGAGUAUGUAUUCUUAUAUUUAAAAGCGUUUUUUGUAUUCUUAUUUGAAACGUGACAGUGGCAG